rnacentral:piRNA from 1 species
UCCUUGAUUAAUUUUCAUUGC